rnacentral:rRNA from 1 species
AAAUUGAAGAGUUUGAUCAUGGCUCAGAUUGAACGCUGGCGGCAGGCCUAACACAUGCAAGUCGAACGGUAACAGGAAACAGCUUGCUGUUUCGAGGACGAGUGGGGGAGGGGAGAGGAAUGAGGGGGAAACUGGGUGAGGGAGGGGGAUAAGGACUGGAAACGGGAGGGAAUACCGAAUAAAGUCGGAAGAGCAAAGAGGGGGACAUGAGGGGCUCUUGAAAUCGGAUGUGCCCAGAUGGGAUUAGCUAGUAGGUCAGUCUCUUAUAAAAAUAUCCGAGACCACGAGACAGGCA